UGUUGGUUCUCCCGCAACGCUACUCUGUUUACCAGGUCAGGUCCGGAAGGAAGCAGCCAAGGCAGAUGACGCGUGUGCCGGGAUGUAGCUGGCAAGG
rnacentral:SRP_RNA from 1 species